rnacentral:tRNA from 1 species
GGGCCCGUAGUCUAGCCCGGAUUAGGACGCUGGCCUGCGGAGCCGGAGAUCUGGGGUUCAAAUCCCCACGGGCCCGCCA